CACCGGUUUAAAGCUUGGCAUGGCUCUCGAGUGUGAUUAAGGCCAGCCUGGGCUACAGGAGACCAUACCCAAAACACCAUCAUCAACAACAACAAAAACCCUGAACAAAACAAAAAAACUAGGCCAACGCUUGUAAUCUGAGCACGUGAGAGGCUGAGCCAGGAGGAUCAGAACCGAGAGAUUUAAGUCCCUCUUAUCCUGUUAAAACCUGUCUCCAAGCCCCUUCUGCACAUUAAUGAAUUUCGCCUCUCGCGACAAGCUAAUGAGGCGGAUACGCUUGUAAUGAAGAAAUACUUAUCCUCCAGAACCUCAACUCGACAGAAGUGCGUGUGAACGUGUGACCAGCACACAGGACUAGCCACCUGCACCGGUCUACGCUGCUAUGGCACGGUGCCCCUGGAUAGACCCCUUCCCGCAAUCCUUUUCGAAGAGGUUAGAGGUCCCGGCGCCCCAGGAUUUCUCAGUGGGGUCCAACUUCCACUCCACUCUCAGUUUCCAACCAUCCCAGGGCUCCCCCUCGAACAUCCCAGCCCCCUCCCGCUGCCCAGCCUCCCCAGGCCUCCAACUCUCCCGCGUCUGCAUCUCGCGUUCCUCCCGCUCCCCGGCCCGCCCCCAGAACCCCACCUCCAGCCUCCUAUCAUCCCCCUCCCCCAAGCCGCCCAUCCCUCCCUUCCUCUCCCUCCUCCAGACCUGGGUACCCCUCCCCGUGGUCCGCCCGUUCCCCGUACACCGGACUCCCCAGCCCUUCCUUUUCCCUCUAGCUCACCUCACUCUCCUGGGCGAGGCCCCCCAAACAACCUCACCUUCCCGCACAUGCGCACAAAGCUCAUCGGGACUCCAUGCCCCAGCAGGCUUUGCGCCAAAUUCACCCGUACUUCCCCGCCCCCACGUCCCCUCACUCUCUACACUAGGAAUCGCUAAUUCUACCCAACACUUCCCACCUCUCCCAGCUGGAAACUACAUCUCCCAAGAAACAUCGCGACAAAGCGGCUUUCCAUUAGCCCUACUGUGAUGAGUCCUGUACGCUCGUGCGUCCCGAGCUAGCCAGAAAACUACAUUUCUUAAAGUGUAAAGAAGAAAACCCGAUUCCUAUUGGCUCACACAGGCGCAAACAGAGCGCUUCUGAUUUUGGACUACAUUUCCCAGAUUUCACGUGGAUUUCCUUCCUCUACCAUCCCUCACAAGACACCCCGCCGGCUGACUUCUGGCAAACGCGGACGGGUCGGGGAGGGAUAAGAGGAAUCUGUGGUUUCGUUGUCGUGGAAACCGGGGGAGGCAGCACACUUGGGAGACCCGCCUCCAGGACCUUUAAGCGCCUAUAGAGGAGGUCGUGGAGGCUAUGCCAGAGUUCUCCUCAGAUCAGCAGUGGGAGAUCCGUCUCCUUGACAACAGUUGCAGUAUCGCCCUCCCGCUCCAGUACUAGGUUAAAGGAAGGUUGAGGCUGGUCAACGAAACCUGACCUCUGAGAAUUAGUUCGCUCGUCCCAUACUGUCAGUCCACUCUCUAGCCUCAGUUUCCCGUCUUGUGAAUAGGAAGGAAAAUAUUACGUGUCAAACGGCGCUUGUGUAGCCCCCUACGGACACUGAAGCCUCAGUUUCCCUACCUCAGAAAAGACAGGCUUAUCCCACACACCGAGUGACAAGGCUGUUUCCAGCUACAGAGCUUGUCAACCUCUGCCACCUCAGGACUCAGACUCUCACCACAGUUCCAGAGAAUGCCAGGCAAGUCCACUGAUUGGUCAGUUUAUGUCAGAUGACAGCUCUGUGUCCACCAGUUUGCCGUUCUCCUUC
rnacentral:lncRNA from 1 species